CGCGUAGGCGGUUUUUUAAGUCAGAUGUGUAAUCCCCGAGCUUAACUUGGGAACUGCAUCUGAGACUGGAAGGCUAGAGUACUGGAGAGGGUGGUGGAAUUCCUCGUGUAGCGGUGAAAUGCGUAGAGAUGAGGAGGAACACCAGUGGCGAAGGCGGCCACCUGGACAGUAACUGACGCUGAGGCGCGAAAGUGUGGGUAGCAAACAGGAUUAGAUACCCUGGUAGUCCACGCUGUAAACGAUGAACACUUGGUGUGGAGGGAGUUGACCCCUUCCGUGCCGGAGCUAACGCGUUAAGUGUUCCGCCGUGGGGAGUACGGUCGACAAGGCUGAA
rnacentral:rRNA from 1 species